GGGAACAGAAGAAAUCCAACCUAAAUCAUAUGGACAGAAAUGUGACGUCUUUUGACUAAGUAAUUCUCCAAACAAGAGCAUGAGUUUCUCCACAGUCAGUGGGACCCAGGAUAAGCCGAGGACAGUAACUGGCCUUCCAUGGCUCUUGAAGACACACCUGUAUACAUUCUCUAUGCUUGUGUUUGGCUUGUGAAGACUGAUCUUCACCUUGAACCCUACUUUUUUGGAUAUGAUACUGACCUGUCUGAGAACAGAAGUUCAAUUGACCCACAGCUGACCACAGGAUGUUAGGCCAGUCUUCCUGUAACACUCC